UAGGGUUCAUGAAUGGACUGA
rnacentral:piRNA from 1 species